rnacentral:rRNA from 1 species
UACGUAGGUGGCAAGCGUUGUCCGGAAUUAUUGGGCGUAAAGCGCGCGCAGGCGGUCCUUUAAGUCUGAUGUGAAAGCCCACGGCUCAACCGUGGAGGGUCAUUGGAAACUGGGGGACUUGAGUGCAGAAGAGGAAAGCGGAAUUCCACGUGUAGCGGUGAAAUGCGUAGAGAUGUGGAGGAACACCAGUGGCGAAGGCGGCUUUCUGGUCUGUAACUGACGCUGAGGCGCGAAAGCGUGGGGAGCAAUCAGG